ACGGGGUGCAGCAGGCGCGAAAACUUCGCAAUGUGCGAAAGCACGACGAGGGAAUCCCAAGUGCUGGCUCGUUAGAGUCAGCUGUUUUUAUGUCUAAAAAGCAUAGAGAGUAAGUGCUGGGUAAGACGGGUGCCAGCCGCCGCGGUAAUACCUGCAGCACAAGUGGUGGCCGCUAUUAUUGGGCCUAAAACGUCCGUAGCCUGUUUAUUAAAUGCCUAGGUAAAUUGUGUGGCUUAACCAUACGAAUUCUGGGUAGACUGGUAAACUUGAGACCGGGAGAAGCUAGAGGUACUCCUGGGGUAGAGGUGAAAUUCUGUAAUCCUAGGGGGACCACCAGUGGCGAAGGCGUCUAGCUAGAACGGGUUUGACGGUGAGGGACGAAGCCCUGGGGCGCAAACGGGAUUAGAUACCCCGGUAGUCCAGGGUGUAAACGCUGCUUGCUUGAUGUUGGUUGGGCUCCGAGCCCAAUCAGUGUCGGAGAGAAGUUGUUAAGCAAGCUGCCUGGGAAGUACGAUCGCAAGACUGAAACUUAAAGGAAUUGGCGGGGGAGCAC
rnacentral:rRNA from 1 species